rnacentral:tRNA from 1 species
GGGUCUGUAGCUCAAUUGGUAGAGCGCCCGGAUCGCAACCGGGAGGUUGUCGGUUCAAAGCCGACCAGUAUCCACCA